rnacentral:rRNA from 1 species
GACGAACGCUGGCGGCGUGCCUAAUACAUGCAAGUCGAACGAGACUUUCCUUGGUGGUAACACCUUUGAUUGUCUAGUGGCGAACGGGUGAGUAACACGUGAGAAACCUGCCCUGAAGACGGGGAUAACAGGAGGAAACUUCUGCUAAUACCCGAUACCCCCACCGGAUCGCAUGGUCUGGUGAGGAAAUGGAUUCCGCUUCAGGAGGGUCUCGCGGCCUAUCAGCUUGUUGGUGAGGUAACGGCUUACCAAGGCUUGGACGGGUAGCUGGUCUGAGAGGACGAUCAGCCACACUGGGACUGAGACACGGCCCAGACUCCUACGGGAGGCAGCAGUAAGGAAUAUUGCGCAAUGGGCGAAAGCCUGACGCAGCAACGCCGCGUGCGGGAUGAAGGCCCUCGGGUUGUAAACCGCUUUCAGUAGGGAAGAAAAUGACGGUACCUACAGAAGAAGCCCUGGCCAACUACGUGCCAGCAGCCGCGGUAACACGUAGGGGGCGAGCGUUGUCCGGAUUUAUUGGGCGUAAAGAGCUCGUAGGCGGUUUCGUAAGUCGGAUGUGAAAACUCCAGGCUCAACUUGGAGACGCCAUUCGAUACUGCGAUGACUUGAGUCCGGUAGGGGAGUGUGGAAUUCCUGGUGUAGCGGUGAAAUGCGCAGAUAUCAGGAGGAACACCGGCGGCGAAGGCGGCACUCUGGGCCGGUACUGACGCGGAGGAGCGAAAGCGUGGGUAGCAAACAGGAUUAGACACCCUGGUAGUCCACGCCGUAAACGGUGGGCACUAG